GGCAUAAUAUAAAUAAGAGUAAAAUUAAAUUAUGUCAUUAGGGGGACCAAGAAUCUAAUAAUAUAGUUUAUUAUUCAAAUCAGCUGCUUCAACUGAGUUAAAUUCGGAUGUCUUAAGCAUGAAAUUGUUACGCAUUCCAUUCACAGAAUUUUCUCUCAAGAACAACAAUCGAUUCAAUCAAAUACACAAGAAAAAUAUUAAAUCACGCUCUGCAUUUGUACUUGAUGCUCAAUAAUUGAAGAGUGUACCAUCUAAUUUUGACUCUUGUCAUCCUCAAGAUUAACUAUUAUGUAAAUGAAUGGCGAUUUUCGUAAGACUCCCAAGUUCAAGCUGAAAAGUUAUUGUGAAUGGAAUCAAUUGUCUAUCACAACCAGGAGAUAUUGACAAUC
rnacentral:misc_RNA from 1 species